rnacentral:tRNA from 1 species
GUGGAGAUAUAGCUCAGUAGGUAGAGUGCUUGCCUCACAUGCACAAGGCCCUCUGGGUUCAAUCCCCAGCACCACA